rnacentral:rRNA from 1 species
GAUUGAGGGGGGCUGCUCCUAGUACGAGAGGACCGGAGUGGACGCAUCACUGGUGUUCGGGUUGUCAUGCCAAUGGCACUGCCCGGUAGCUAAAUGCGGAAGAGAUAAGUGCUGAAAGCAUCUAAGCACGAAACUUGCCCCGAGAUGAGUCUUCCCUGAGACUUAAAGUCUCCUGAAGGAACGUUAAAGACGAUGACGUUGAUAGGCCGGGUGUGUAAGCGCAGCGAUGCGUUGAGCUAACCGGUACUAAUGAACCGUGAGGCUUAACCUUACAACGCCGAAG